UACGUAGGGCGCAAGCGUUAUCCGGAAUUACUGGGCGUAAAGGGCUCGUAGGCGGCCAACUAAGUCGGACGUGAAAUCCCUCGGCUUAACCGGGGAACUGCGUCCGAUACUGGAUGGCUUGAGUUCGGGAGAGGGAUGCGGAAUUCCAGGUGUAGCGGUGAAAUGCGUAGAUAUCUGGAGGAACACCGGUGGCGAAGGCGGCAUCCUGGACCGACACUGACGCUGAGGAGCGAAAGCCAGGGGAGCAAAGCGGG
rnacentral:rRNA from 1 species